CCCAGGGUAAGUCGGGACCUAAGGCGAGGCCGACAGGCGUAGUCGAUGGAUAACCGGUUGAUAUUCCGGUACCCGCUGUGAAGCGUCAAACAUCGAACCAGGCGAUGCUAAGUCCGUGAAGCCGUUCCGGACCCUUCGGGGAAAGGAAAGUGGUGGAGCCGACGGACCAGACCUGUAGUAGGUGAGUGAUGGGGUGACGCAGGAAGGUAGUCCAUCCCGGGCGGUGGUUGUCCCGGGGUAAGGGUGUAGGACGUGCGAUAGGUAAAUCCGUCGCACACAUAGUCUGAGACCUGAUGCCGAGCCGAUUGUGGUGAAGUGGAUGAUCCUAUGCUGUCGAGAAAAGCCUCUAGCGAGUUUCAUGGCGGCCCGUACCCUAAACCGACUCAGGUGGUCAGGUAGAGAAUACCGAGGCGUUCGGGUGAACUAUGGUUAAGGAACUCGGCAAAAUGCCCCCGUAACUUCGGGAGAAGGGGGGCCAUCACCGGUGAUCUGUCUUGCACAGUGAGCUGGGGGUGGCCGCAGAGACCAGCGAGAAGCGACUGUUUACUAAAAACACAGGUCCGUGCGAAGCCGUAAGGCGAUGUAUACGGACUGACGCCUGCCCGGUGCUGGAACGUUAAGGGGACCGGUUAGUGCGCUUUCGGGCGCGCGAAGCUGAGAACUUAAGCGCCAGUAAACGGCGGUGGUAACUAUAACCAUCCUAAGGUAGCGAAAUUCCUUGUCGGGUAAGUUCCGACCUGCACGAAUGGCGUAACGACUUCUCGACUGUCUCAACCAUAGGCCCGGUGAAAUUGCACUACGAGUAAAGAUGCUCGUUUCGCGCAGCAGGACGGAAAGACCCCGGGACCUUUACUACAGUUUGAUAUUGGUGUUCGGUUCGGCUUGUGUAGGAUAGCU
rnacentral:rRNA from 1 species